AUUGAACGCUGGCGGCAGGCCUAACACAUGCAAGUCGAGCGGAUGAAGGGAGCUUGCUCCUGGAUUCAGCGGCGGACGGGUGAGUAAUGCCUAGGAAUCUGCCUGGUAGUGGGGGAUAACGUCCGGAAACGGGCGCUAAUACCGCAUACGUCCUGAGGGAGAAAGUGGGGGAUCUUCGGACCUCACGCUAUCAGAUGAGCCUAGGUCGGAUUAGCUAGUUGGUGGGGUAAAGGCCUACCAAGGCGACGAUCCGUAACUGGUCUGAGAGGAUGAUCAGUCACACUGGAACUGAGACACGGUCCAGACUCCUACGGGAGGCAGCAGUGGGGAAUAUUGGACAAUGGGCGAAAGCCUGAUCCAGCCAUGCCGCGUGUGUGAAGAAGGUCUUCGGAUUGUAAAGCACUUUAAGUUGGGAGGAAGGGCAGUAAGUUAAUACCUUGCUGCUUUGACGUUACCAACAGAAUAAGCACCGGCUAACUUCGUA
rnacentral:rRNA from 1 species